rnacentral:lncRNA from 1 species
AUGAAUUCUCCACUUAUGUGGCUACGGGGAGAUGCAGAUCGAGGAAUGCAGUCUCUGAACCUUCAGGGAAUUGGAGUUACACCAUGGAUGCAGCCGAGGCUGGAUGCUUCCAUGGUGGGUCUGCCGGCUGACAUGUACCAAGCUAUGGCUGCUGCUGCACUGCAAGAUUUGAGGGCUGUGGAUCCUUCCAAACCAGCAACUGCUUCCCUUCUGCAAUUUCAGCAACCCCAAAAUCUCCCCUGCAGACCUGCAGCUCUAAUGCAGCCCCAGAUGUUGCAGCAGUCUCAACCUCAGGCCUUUCUUCAGGGUGUUGAAGACAACCAGCACCAGUCUCAGUCUCAGGCCCAAACUCCCCCACAUCUGCUUCAGCAACAGUUGCAGCACCAGAACUCGUUCAAUAACCAACAGCAUCCACAGCAUCCACUGUCACAGCAACAC